GAAACAAGGGGAGGAGGAGGAGGAGGAGAAAUGGAAAGGAGUGAGACAGAACGGUUCAUUUAUUGUGGAGACGCUGUGCAGGUAACACCAAUGAUUGUGUUGAAUGACACGGCUGACGGGAGGGCAUGGAACAUACACCUAGGCCAGAGUUGUUACGACCAGCCAGCGCCAACGAGUGAGAUCGGUGAUCACCGAUCAGUGAUCGGUGACAGGAGCUGUUGGCCAGCCUCGACGUGGUGGUGGUGAUGGUGGUGGUGGUGUGCUGCUGCUGCUGCUGCUGCUGCUGCUGCUGCGUGAAUUGGAGCGUGUCCUGCCGACCAUACCUUCAAUUGCCUGCAGGGCGACGCCGCUGCCGAGAGAACAUGGUACGUGCAGGAAGGCCAAAACUGUGAUAAACCAGCGCCAGCGACAAGGAGACACGGGUUCGGCCAGCGCCAGCUAGAGAUCUUUUACUUUUAGAGGUGUUGGCCUGCUGUUCAGAGCGGCGGAGUGCUGUGACGUGCCGUUGGUGGUUCAGCUGAUGUCCCUGUUGAAGGGAGUGUGGCCGCUAUCUUCACCCUACUCAGGAAAUGGACUGGUGCUGCACUGGGACACAUAGAUGCCAUCUCCUGCCUUGCUUCACCUUCUAGGGAGGGACUCUGCACCUCACCUCAUUGCCCUGCCAGUAGCUCCAUGAUGCUCUGCAGGGAGGAAGCUUGCCAUGCAGGAAGGACAAGAAUUUUGCGUUUUUUUUUUUUUUUUUUUGUGUAAACUGGUUAAGGGCAACAAAAUAAAGGUUUGCUUAAUUGCCAGAUUUCAUGAGAUCAAUAGUUCGGCCAAAAGAUGGGGACAAAUAUAUGAAGAUGGAAAUACAGAAGCAGGCAGGGAGUUCCAGAGUUUACAGUUUCUGCCCACGCCUUGCUGCUUCAUACCUGGAGAGAAGAGACUUAAGCUGUGUACUUGAUCUGAUGUUAUUUCUUGUUUGAAUGUAAUGUAGAGCUGUGGUUCUAGUAUUCGUUAAUAAAUUGAAUUGAUUUA
rnacentral:lncRNA from 1 species